rnacentral:tRNA from 5 species
GGGCAGUUAGCUCAGCGGUAGAGCAUCGCCUUCACACGGCGGGGGUCACAGGUUCAAGCCCUGUACUGCCCACCA